rnacentral:rRNA from 1 species
AUGGAGCCGACCUUGAAAUACCACCCUUUAAUGUUUGAUGUUCUAACGUUGGCCCGUAAUCCGGGUUGCGGACAGUGUCUGGUGGGUAGUUUGACUGGGGCGGUCUCCUCCUAAAGAGUAACGGAGGAGCACGAAGGUUGGCUAAUCCUGGUCGGACAUCAGGAGGUUAGUGCAAUGGCAUAAGCCAGCUUGACUGCGAGCGUGACGGCGCGAGCAGGUGCGAAAGCAGGUCAUAGUGAUCCGGUGGUUCUGAAUGGAAGGGCCAUCGCUCAACGGAUAAAAGGUACUCCGGGGAUAACAGGCUGAUACCGCCCAAGAGUUCAUAUCGACGGCGGUGUUUGGCACCUCGAUGUCGGCUCAUCACAUCCUGGGGCUGAAGUAGGUCCCAAGGGUAUGGCUGUUCGCCAUUUAAAGUGGUACGCGAGCUGGGUUUAGAACGUCGUGAGACAGUUCGGUCCCUAUCUGCCGUGGGCGCUGGAGAACUGAGGGGGGCUGCUCCUAGUACGAGAGGACCGGAGUGGACGCAUCACUGGUGUUCGGGUUGUCAUGCCAAUGGCACUGCCCGGUAGCUAAAUGCGGAAGAGAUAAGUGCUGAAAGCAUCUAAGCACGAAACUUGCCCCGAGAUGAGUUCUCCCUGAGACUUAGAGUCUCCUGAAGGAACGUUGAAGACGACGACGUUGAUAGGCCGGGUGUGUAAGCGCAGCGAUGCGUUGAGCUAACCGGUACUAAUGAACCGUGAGG